UUUCAUCUUUAGCAUCACUGUAUUGUUCUCCGGCGAAAGUUCGCCGCCUCAACCGCGGUUUUUCCUCCUUCCCUAACAUCUAAUUCUCACCCUUAACUUCUAAUUCUCACCCUUAACUUCUAAUUCAAUAGCUUAGUCAUUAACUCAACCCUCCCCCAAUUCUACUCUCAUUUUUCCUUCAUUCAUCUUCCUCCAAACCGAUCAAUUCCUCCUGAAAUUCGGCGAAUCCACAACUGGAAUCCACAAUCUCUCGCUUGAAAUCUCUCUCCGAUUCUACAGCGGAGUGUCUUCCCCACUUUCAUCACAUUCGGCCGAACGCCAGCGAAAUUGCAGUGUCUUCCUCCACCGCCUGCAUCUUAGGUUUAUUCCUUUUUUCUUCCUAAUCGGACGAGAGAAAUUGGAGAGUAGAUCGAUGAUGAGUUCGUUCUCCAAAUCAAAAGGUUCAGGAAUUUAAAUAUAAGCUUCAGAAGGUGGAUUUUUGAUAUGGUAUUGUUUAAACAACACACUUAUGAGAUAAAACAGAUUGAAUGGACUUAUGUCUUGUUAUAUCCAUCACCAGAGCUUUUGUGACACAAGAGCAUACUGUUAUGCAAGAGCAUUACUCUCGCUUUCACUAACGCCUAUCUGUUAUGCCGGUUGACCUCUUGCCAGAAAACAAAUGUUUUGGUUCGAGAGAGAAUCUUUGAAGCCCUCUCCAGUGAUAACUUCUUUGGUGGUCUUGACAUCGACCUUGAUGGAUCAAGUCCAAGAGAUGAUAGUUGUCUCCCUUUCUAUCAGAUGAGCAGCACAAGGAAUUUUGGGAUCAGAUCGCUGAUCAGAGUUUCGACCGUCCACUUAAAACUUACUUUGACAUGUUGAUAUGUAGAUGGAAGAAUUACAGAAGAUGAAGUCAGUGAGGUACUCUUUUUUGGUUAAUGUUAUAGUGUUGAUAAAGAUGCAAAUAGAACAAUCACAUAUAUUGUUAUAGUGUUUUAACAGGCUCGGUCAUGUUUUUUAUUCUUGGUUAAUUCAUUGACCUCAUUGGUCGUUGUAUUGGAUAUGAGCCCUGCAUUACUUCUAGGAAAUGAUUGAGAAACAAUAGAGUGAUUUCUACUCCAGGAGAAGAAAAGUCAAGAUUCAGCUCCAAUGAGGUGAAUUCUUAUCAUCAUACAUGGGUUAAAUGAACACAGAUCUAUGCACAAGCUUUGCUUAAUGAUAAUUGGAAGCAUUGAAGAGAGAAUGUAGAGAGUUAUCAAUCAAAGAAGCAGCUUAGUGUCCUUCAAAUCUCAAAUCUCGAUUACUGUUUAUGAAGCUGUAAUUUACUUAUUGUGGAGGUGGAGUGUUUCACUUAAUCAAAUAUUGUCUCAAUAAAUGUUUUCUUAAUCUUUGA